AGCUUUUUCAUGGCGAAGUCUUCAAAACAUGAAGCAAAAAUAGCCCUCUCUGGUAUCCAGGAAACAAGUGCUCCUCAGUCAUGAGGCAGUUGUUGGAUGGAAGCAGAAUUCUAUAAAAGACGGUAAGCUGAAAAUUUUACGAGAGACAAGCGAGACCAGGGAACUGAGAACAGCCCCUGGAGACUCCAGAUAAAAAUGCAGAAGUUAAGGGAAGUAGAAGAUCUGUUUAUGCAGGAAUCACAAAGGGAAUACUUUGAGAUGGAAAAAAUCUCAGAAAAUUUGUCAUUUUUUAUGAGAUGCUGAUCUCCUGAAUAUUUCUCCAAGCUAUCCAGACAUGUGUCCGAUCUAAAUCAGGAGGCAUCUUCAGAAAUUCUUCACAAACACCCCCAAGAAACCAUAAAGUGAGGGUCUAGGACCUUUGCCUUUGCAAACAAAAAUGUGUAGAUCACUGACCAAAGAAUGAAAAUCUCAUUAAAACCUUGUUUCAGAGAGAUUGGAGCAGGGAGCAGGAAAUGUCAGUAGAACUACGAAAUUGUAUGUUCCUUGUAUUACAUGAACACAGUUAUUUAAAAUAAAAUGUUUGUAUUAUUAUAA